rnacentral:rRNA from 1 species
CAACGCGACCCCAGGUCAGGCGGGGGUACCCGCUGAGAGU